rnacentral:lncRNA from 1 species
UUCUGUGACAGAAAAAUAAAAAAAGAAAAAAGAAAAAAAAAAAGAAGAAGAAGAAGAAGGAGAGAAGAAGGAGGAGGAGGAGAAGAAGGAGGAGGAGGAAAAAAAAAGAAAAAGAAAAAGAAGAAGAGAAGAGAAGAGAAGAGAAGAGAAGAGAAGAGAAGAGAAGAGAAGAGAAGAGAAGAGAAGAGAAGAGAAGAGAAGAGAAGAGAAGAGAAGAGAAGAGAAGAGAAGAGAAGAGAAGAGAAGAGAAGAGAAGAGAAGAGAAGAGAAGAGAAGAGAAGAGAAGAGAAGAGAAGAGAAGAGAAGAGAAAAAAGAAGAGAGAAAAGAAGAGAAAGGAAGAGAAAGGAAGAGAAGAGAAUAGAAGAGAAAAGAAAAGAAAAGAAAAGAAAAGAAAAGAAAAGAAAAGAAAAGAAAAGAAAAGAAAAGAAAAGAAAAGAAAAGAAAAGAAAAGAAAAGAAAAGAAAAGAAAAGAAAAGAAAAGAAAAGAAAAGAAAAGAAAAGAAAAGAAAAGAAAAGAAAAGAAAAAAGGAACAUGGCAUCAAGGACAGAGAGGCAGGAGUCUCCUUGUGACUCCCUCCUGGAGUCUCCAUAUCCAUCCCUGUGUGACCUCCAGGCAAUCCCUUUCUGUUCCCCUUGGUAUUUUGAUGGCUUGUCCUAAUUGCAGCGUUAAAUUCCUUGCAGCAAACCAUGUCUGUGAGAGGAAGCUGAAAACGGGCAAGGGGGUGGGGAUGCCCAGCAUCCCACAGGAAAUUCUGGGGGCUUUCUGUUUGACCAAAACCCUAAUUAGAAUCAUGAAGGUUAUAAUAGAGUUUUGUUUUGGAGCUCAUGGGUUUAUGCUCUACGUAUUGCUGGCAGAUGGCUUCGGCUCCUGCUUCCCAGGGAAGUCCUGCCUUGCCCGUUAGAGGUCAAACAUCAUUACCCUCAUUUGGCUGGGAAAAGAAAGUAGGAGAACCAGGGAUUGGAGCAGGACAGAGGGCUCCACAUCCUCUUGAAAAUCUUACAUUAAUUCUGCUGCUGCUGAGCACCGCAUCCCUGUAGUUUCCAUCUAUCCAUCCUGCUGACCAUCUACCCGCUGGUCCAUGCACACACACGGUACUUUAUCUUUUGACCUUAAACCUUUGGUUCACAUUCCCCGUCCUCCUUCCCUCUUUCCUUUCCUUUCCUUUCCUUUCCU